GAGAGAGAGAACAAACGGAUGCUUAGGAGUAGCAAUCAUAAAGUCAUACUGUAGGGACUUUGGGGCCAUAAAAAUCGGUUGGAACUCCUCAACAGUCGAAGAUGUGAUAUUUUCUGUAAAUUGUUUUACGGAUAACUCCGCCGCAUAAACAAAUUUAUCAAUAUUUUUUUUAAGCUGUAAAGAACGAGACAUCCAAACACCGCCAUACUCAUACAAUCCCAAUAAAAAUCCCCACUGAUCUUUAGCUUCACGCGAUAACUGAGA